UGAGGAAUAUUGGUCAAUGGUCGCUAGACUGAACCAGCUAAGUAGCGUGCGGGAUGAAGGCCCUCCGGGUCGUAAACCGCUUUUAGACGGGGAUAAAAGGGCGUACGUGUACGCCGUAUUGCAUGUACCGUCAGAAAAAGGACCGGCUAAUUCCGUGCCAGCAGCCGCGGUAAUACGGAAGGUCCGGGCGUUAUCCGGAUUUAUUGGGUUUAAAGGGAGCGUAGGCGGACUUUCAAGUCAGUGGUAAAAUCGUGUGGCUCAACCAUACCUCGCCAUUGAAACUGGAAGUCUGGAGUGCACACAGGGUGCCGGAAUUCAUGGUGUAGCGGUGAAAUGCUUAGAUAUCAUGAAGAACUCCGAUCGCGAAGGCAAGUGCCCGGGGUGCAACUGACGCUGAGGCUCGAAGGUGCGGGUAUCGAACAGGAUUAGAUACC
rnacentral:rRNA from 1 species